rnacentral:lncRNA from 1 species
AUAAUUUACGACAGCACAAUUACAAUGUGUUUGCUAUAGUAGAUGAUGAUAUUGUUACCACAGAAAUGCUAACAGAGGAAGACAUAGUUAACGAAGUCAAAAGGAGUAAUAUUGCAGGCAUACAAGAUGACAAUAACAAUGAAGACAACAAGAUUGAGAAAUCAGUACCUAGUUUGAGAGAGGCUCUUGAUGCCAUUAGAAUUAUUAACCGAUUUUAUAAGGCAGAUUCCCAAGGAAAUGAAAAUAUUGACACAAUAAAGGUGAUCGAAAAAGAUUUAGAAAAGCAGUAUUUAUGACAACGUGUAAAAUAAAAAAAAAUCAUCAAUUUCUUUGCUUAAUAUACGUUUCGCUUCAUUUUUGUUCAUUGUAUAAGAUCAUAAUUUCUG